GCUGGGUUUACAGGCAUGAGCCACCGUGCCCAGCCGUAAGUAAACUUUUAAUAUAAUGAAUAGUCUAAACCCAACACUCAGAAAUAAAAUGUUUAUUUUUAAUGUUCAAAAUACAAUACUAUAAAAGACUCUAAAGCAACUGCUUACAGUACCAUUAUUUCUACGUUUCUAAAUAAAUUAUUCCUUCACUUGUUAGUUAUUUGAAUAUAUAUUUUAAACUACAUUUCAACGUAUUAAAUCAAAUGAACAUACGUACUUGGCAAUAAAAAAUUUAUUAAACAGGUAGACAAGAAAACAACUUGCCUUCUUUUCUAAUUUUAAAACUGACAAACACUCGGCAUUUAGGUGCUUAUUUGUCUAGUGUUACUGGAGUGCUAAAGAGAAGUACUCAAUGGGAAAUCUUUCCGUAUUUAUAUCCAUGCUGGGUGUGAAUAUAUGGGAAUUUUCCAAGGGUAGUACUAUAAACAUUCAACUACUAUUAUAUAUAGCCCCAGAUUGACUGAUUAGAAUAAACAUGGGUUACAAACCACUGAUGUGGCCACCUUGUUUUUAGGCUUAACAUUGAUCAUGAUCUAACAGAAUCAACAAAUGAGAGCUAUAUGCUGGGUGCUCUUCGGGCACCUUUAUUUGCAUUAAUUGCUUUAAUUUUACCAAAAUCCUAAAGUUGGGGAUGCAAUCAGUAACCAGCUGACACCGAGUUUCAAUCUAACCAUUACGCCCAACACCCUGUCACCCAAUGCUUGUUUUAAAUCCUGACCUAACAUUUUGGCUUUAAAUUUUUUAAUUUAGUAAAAAUAAAGAUAAAUUUACAAACCACUUCUUUUUAUCCAUAGAUAGUAUGUAGAACUUAAUUUUUGGUUUAAAGUAUUCAUUACAAAGUCUGAGACAAACACUUCAGUAAGUGAAUUAUAACAUUAUUCCUCUUAUGACUUAAAAGAACCAUUAAUUUUACUUUUGAAAUAAUGAGUGUUUAUAUUUAAAGUUAAAAUGAGCCUAUUAUUAUAUAGAAAAUUUGUUGUCAGCAUGAACCUUGUCAUCCACUGAGUGGUCUACAGUUGCUUUCAGAAACACUAAUAAGAAUACUGUUUCUGAUUGAAUAAUUAAAGAAUGUUAUGCUUUUUCAGUGACUAAAAUAAAAUAGAUUGAAAUUACUGAUUAGUAACUUACCAUGUGGUUUAAGUGUUAUUUAAUAAAUACAUGUGAAGUUUCUCUUAAACUCAUUUUAACAAAUGACUUCUGUUUUUCACUUCUAUUAGAAAAAAGUAUUAAAAUUUGUUAUUACAAGCCUAUCAAUUUUAUUCAGAUCUAAAUAUAGCGCUAAUCUUAAAAGAUCUGUAUGCUUAGGAUUAUAAAAAGCCUAUUCUCCAUUCACACAUAUAAGAUAAAUAACUGCUUUUCAGUAAACCCAAUGGGGCAACUGUGACUCACAAUUAUAAGCUAUUAAAAUAUUAAUACUAUCACCUAGAUGACACUUUUAGGUAUCUGCAUGUUCAAGUUGUUUAACUUAUAAUUCAAAAAUAAUUUUUUAUAAACUAUAAAAAAUAAAAAGAAUUUUAUUUCUUAAAUAUUGUCAUUAUUUCUAGUUGACUUAACAUUCAAUUUUAGAGGCUGUGGCUUUAGAAACAAGAAAUGUCAUGGUUGACUCCACUUUACUUCCUGCCUUAUUUCACACAAACACAGCAGCACAAAAAAGGCCAGAAAUGCUACAACUUGACUGGAAAUACACCAGUACCUUUCUAGGGAGAAUAUAUGUGGGAGCAUAUUUACUUGAAAUUAAUGACAUCUUUUGUUGAAGUACAGGCUUCUAUAUGGCAAGUAAUAAAUACAAAAAUUUUACAGGGCAAAAGAGUAAGAGAUAUACUCUAAAAUUACCUUCUAACCCAUUAUUUCUUUUUUCACUAGCAUGGUUGUGACGGAAUGAGCAUUUGCAGCAGCUUUUUUUUUUUUUUUUUGAGAUAGAAUCUUGCUCUGUCGACCAGACUGGAGUGCAAUGGCAUGAUCUCAG
rnacentral:lncRNA from 10 species